GGAGGCGUGUUCCGAAUUGGCUAAGGAGCCGGUCUCGAAAACCGGUGAGGGUUACACCCUCGUGUGGGUUCGAGUCCCACCGCCUCCGCCA
rnacentral:tRNA from 1 species